rnacentral:rRNA from 1 species
CCGCUAAUACCCCAUAUGCCGAGAGGCGAAAUGAAAUUCGCCUGAGGAUGAGCUCGCGUCUGAUUAGCUAGUUGGUAGGGUAAAGGCCUACCAAGGCAUUGAUCAGUAGCUGGUCUGAGAGGAUGAUCAGCCACACUGGGACUGAGACACGGCCCAGACUCCUGCGGGAAGCAGCAGUGGGGAAUUUUCCGCAAUGGGCGCAAGCCUGACGGAGCAACGCCGCGUGAGGGAUGAAGGCCUCUGGGCUGUAAACCUCUUUUAUCAAGGAAGAAGAACUGACGGUACUUGAUGAAUAAGCCACGGCUAAUUCCGUGCCAGCAGCCGCGGUAAUACGGGAGUGGCAAGCGUUAUCCGGAAUUAUUGGGCGUAAAGCGUCCGCAGGCGGUUUUACAAGUCUGUCGUUAAAGCGUGGAGCUCAACUCCAUUUCAGCGAUGGAAACUGUAAGACUCGAGUGUGGUAGGGGCAGAGGGAAUUCCCGGUGUAGCGGUGAAAUGCGUAGAUAUCGGGAAGAACACCAGUGGCGAAAGCGCUCUGCUGGGCCAUAACUGACGCUCAUGGACGAAAGCCAGGGGAGCGAAAGGGAUUAGAUACCCCUGUAGUCCUGGC